CGCAGGGCCCGCCCUCUCUCUGUCCCAGCGAGGGGCGGUGCGACUCCGGCGCAGAGCGGCCGCCGAUUGGUCGGGGCGCGGAGCUGACGCCCGCCGGGCCGGGUCAGCGUUCGGCCUACGGCGGUCGCCGCCUCAUCGCCCGUCAGACGUGCGGCGCCGUUGUCGCCGUUCUGUGCGCGAGUGCCGUUGCGCGACGCGCGGCCUCGAAGCAACGCCCCAGCGCGGUACCGCCCCGCGGCCGGGCGGUGUAAGCGGGGCCUCGAGCGGAGGGGACUUGCGCUGGUUGGUCGCGUUAGCGGUCAAACAGAAGUUAAAGCUAUUAAAGAGGGCAUUAUCCGAAUGCCUCAUGGACGGACAUGGAGCAGCAGCCACCUCGCUAGGAAGUCUCUGUCAGUGUUUGACCGCUCUCACUGUUGAGAAGUUUCUCGUAAUGCCAUGUCUGAACCUCCCCUAUAAAUAUGGAUAAAUAUGGGUAUGUUAUAAAUUGAAAAAUACAGGAAGAAAAACUGCUUUAGCUGUUUGAUUUGGAGAAGGAACUUUUGUUUCCCGUAUGCAUUCCACUGCAGGACACCACUGCAAGUUCCUUUGCACAUAAUUCGGAACUAAUAAAAGCCAAACUGAUUUUUACAGAAGGGCCGUGAUGGGGGAGUUCUUUUUUUCUUCCAUACCCGCAGAUAACCAGUUCGGAUUUAUAUAAAGACAAAAAAUGGUUUGAACUCAGGCUCUCCUUCAGCGUGCCUCAGUGGGUAUGAGUUUCCUUGCAGCAGCAGGAGGAAAAAAGUCACCGUUGUGCGGAACUUCUUUUUUUUUUUUUUCGAUUAUUCAAAAGCCUCCUUAAUAAUACAGAACAGCUGAGGGGAUUCGUGUGAUUUUAUUCCCUGUCGAAGUCGCUGAGCAAUUACAUCCAGCCACAGGGCUGUGCUUGCGCUGCUGCCGGUUGUUGCUGGGUUCUCUCUGAUGCUUUGGAAGCUGUGCCCUCCCCAGCCUAACAUGCAGGCCUAUCGUUGGACAAAUCGAGGCUCCUUUGUUCUGAUGUUAAGCGCUAAGCCCUGACAACAGAGAACAAAAGGUCCAAGAACAGCUUGUGCUAAAGGCAAAACUUUCCUUUGCUUCGUCGUAAUUCUUCCUUGUUGGCUCUGAGAACCUUGGAGGAUCUUGGUAGCUGCCUCCUAGCGAGAGCAGAAAAUGUUGCAGUGCAAGGGCAAGACCUGAGGCUAUUUCUUUGGGUAUUAUUUCUGCUUAAGAAGACGUGUUCCUUAAAUGACCAGUUGACAAAGCAGAGUGAAAAUGGACAUCUGAACAACUUUUAGGUGCAGAAUGAUACAUCACAGGAUUGAUACGUUCUCAGCUUUGCUCCGGGGCCUGAGGAGAAGGAUGAUAUUCUCAUGCUCCAUAGGGAGCACGUCCCUCUCACUGGGAGCUGGCAGGACAAGCCCUGAGCAUUGCCUGGAAGCUGAGCCCCAGCCCCAGCCCAACCCGGAGCCUCUGGCAGUGGCGGGCAGGAACCUCACCAAGAUGCACGCGCAGACUGGGACGUGAAUGCAGAGUGCUGCCUCCCUUCCAGAAGGACACACGGGUGCAUCAUCUUCAGACUUGAGCAGUUUACCCAGAGAUAUGAAUCUUCAUGUUUCCAUUGUGAAUGGAUCUGCACUGGACCCUGAAGUGAUGAAUGGCAGCAACUUACAUCCUACAUUUAACUUUCAUAAAGCUGUUGACUAGAUGGAUACUAGAGACUCACACAUUCCUUGCUAAGGUACCUAAUUCUUUUCGUGAUCCUAAAUUUGUCACUGCAGCCAAGAACUAAUUUCACA
ensembl:lncRNA